rnacentral:rRNA from 1 species
CCUACGGGAGGCAGCAGUAGGGAAUUUUCGUCAAUGGGCGCAAGCCUGAACGAGCAAUGCCGCGUGAACGAGGAAGGUCUUCGGAUCGUAAAGUUCUGUUGAAGGGGAAGAAGAGCGGAGAGCGGAAAUGGUCUCCGAUUGAUAUUACCCUUCGAGGAAGUCACGGCUAACUACGUGCCAGCAGCCGCGGUAAUACGUAGGUGGCGAGCGUUAUCCGGAAUGAUUGGGCGUAAAGGGUGCGUAGGCGGCCUGCUAAGUCUGGAGUGAAAGGUACCGGCUCACCCGGUAAAGGAUCUGGAAACUGGCGGGCUAGAGAGCAGGAGAGGGCGGUGGAACUCCAUGUGUAGCGGUAAAAUGCGUAGAUAUAUGGAAGAACACCAGUGGCGAAGGCGGCCGCCUGGCCUGUUACUGACGCUGAGGCACGAAAGCGUGGGGAGCAAAUAGGAUUAGAUACCCCGGUAGUC